UACGAAGGGGCUAGCGUUGUUCGGAUUAACUGGGCGUAAAGCGCGCGUAGGCGGGUUUUAAGUCAGGGGUGAAAUCCCAAGACUCAACCUUGGAACUGCCUUUGAUACUUGGAAAUCUUGAGUCCGGGAGAGGUGAGUGGAACUGCGAGUGUAGAGGUGAAAUUCGUAGAUAUUCGCAAGAACACCAGUGGCGAAGGCGGCUCACUGGCCCGGUACUGACGCUGAGGUGCGAAAGCGUGGGGAGCAAACAGGG
rnacentral:rRNA from 1 species